UAGUGUUACAGCUCUUUUAGAAUUUGUCUAGCAGGUUUUCUGGCGUUAGCUGGAAAACCUUA
ensembl:snRNA U7 U7 small nuclear RNA